CAGUCGCCGCGGGAAUACGAAGGGGGCUAGCGUUGUUCGGAUUUACUGGGCGUAAAGCGCACGUAGGCGGACUUUUAAGUCAGGGGUGAAAUCCCGGGGCUCAACCCCGGAACUGCCUUUGAUACUGGGAGUCUUGAGUUCGAGAGAGGUGAGUGGAGUUGCGAGUGUAGAGGUGAAAUUCGUAGAUAUUCGCAGGAACACCAGUGGCGAAGGCGGCUCACUGGCUCGAUACUGACGCUGAGGUGCGAAAGCGUGGGGAGCAAACAGGAUUAGAUACCCCCGUAGUCCCUGUCUCUUAUAC
rnacentral:rRNA from 1 species